rnacentral:rRNA from 1 species
UUUCCGUAGGUGAACCUGCGGAAGGAUCACU